AUUGAACGCUGGCGGCAGGCCUAACACAUGCAAGUCGAACGGUAGCACAGAGAGCUUGCUCUCGGGUGACGAGUGGCGGACGGGUGAGUAAUGUCUGGGAAACUGCCCGAUGGAGGGGGAUAACUACUGGAAACGGUAGCUAAUACCGCAUAACGUCGCAAGACCAAAGUGGGGGACCUUCGGGCCUCACACCAUCGGAUGUGCCCAGAUGGGAUUAGCUAGUAGGUGGGGUAAUGGCUCACCUAGGCGACGAUCCCUAGCUGGUCUGAGAGGAUGACGAGCCACACUGGAACAGAGACACGGUCCAGACUCCUACGGGAGGCAGCAGUGGGGAAUAUUGCACAAUGGGCGCAAGCCUGAUGCAGCCAUGCCGCGUGUAUGAAGAAGGCCUUCGGGUUGUAAAGUACUUUCAGCGGGGAGGAAGGCGGUGAAGUUAAUAACUUCACCGAUUGACGUUACCCGCAGAAGAAGCACCGGCUAACUCCGUGCCAGCCGCCGCCGUAA
rnacentral:rRNA from 1 species